ACCUAAUUUCUUCUCCUCUUCUCUUCUGCGUGCGACGGCGGGCUCGGGCGAAAACAGAGAAGAGAAGCUAGGGCUUCUCUCCGGCGGUCGGCUUAGGGUGUUCUCCGAGGGGUUUUCUCUACCAUUACGAUCUCCUUGUUGAGGGGAGUUCGUGGGCACGAGGAAGAGCCGACAUCUUGAGCUAUCUGAAACCCUAGAAGCCUUGUUUCUUCUCGGUUGUGAGUCCAAGAACGCAAAAAUAAAGGAAAGGAAAAGCUAUAGCGAAGGAAGGCGACAAGGAGGUGCAGAUGGAUGUGUGAUGUUUGGACUAUAGAAGCCUUGAGACUUAGUUUAGAAAUUUAUUAAGAUUUUGUAUUCAGAAGUUAGAAUUAUUUUUCCAUUGAUGUUAGAUUUGCUUAUGAAAUAAUUAUGUUUUAGAAUUCUUUUGUGGUGCACAUUAGUUCUAUUUAUUUGAGUUGUAGUAUUAUUGCA